GGACUACUCGGGUUUCUAAUCCUGUUUGCUCCCCUAGCUUUCGAGCCUCAGUGUCGAUCAUGGUCCAGGUAGCCACCUUCGUCGCUGGUGUUCCUCCCGAUCUCUACGCAUUUCACCGCUACACCGGGAAUUCCACUACCCCCUCCCAUAUCCAAAGCACGGCAGUUUUCGAUGGCUCCUCCCGGUUGAGCCGGGAGAUUUCACACCAAACACACCGCACCACCUACGCUCUCUUUACGCCCAGUAAUUCCGUACAACGCUAGCCCCCUACGUAUUACCGCGGCUGCUGGCAC
rnacentral:rRNA from 1 species